rnacentral:tRNA from 1 species
GGCUGUAUAGCCUAAAACAAGGCAUCUGAAUUGCAAUCAAACCAUGUGUAUAACACUGCAGCCA